rnacentral:rRNA from 1 species
UACGUAGGGUGCAAGCGUUGCUCGGAAUCACUGGGCGUAAAGGGUGCGUAGGCGGGUCUUUAAGUCAGGGGUGAAAUCCUGGAGCUCAACUCCAGAACUGCCUUUGAUACUGAAGAUCUUGAGUUCGGGAGAGGUGAGUGGAACUGCGAGUGUAGAGGUGAAAUUCGUAGAUAUUCGCAAGAACACCAGUGGCGAAGGCGGCUCACUGGCCCGAUACUGACGCUGAGGCACGAAAGCGUGGGGAGCGAUCCGG